rnacentral:rRNA from 1 species
GAUGAACGCUGGCGGCGUGCCUAAUACAUGCAAGUCGAGCGAACGGACGAGAAGCUUGCUUCUCUGAUGUUAGCGGCGGACGGGUGAGUAACACGUGGAUAACCUACCUAUAAGACUGGGAUAACUUCGGGAAACCGGAGCUAAUACCGGAUAAUAUUUUGAACCGCAUGGUGCAAAAGUGAAAGACGGUCUUGCUGUCACUUAUAGAUGGAUCCGCGCUGCAUUAGCUAGUUGGUAAGGUAACGGCUUACCAAGGCAACGAUGCAUAGCCGACCUGAGAGGGUGAUCGGCCACACUGGAACUGAGACACGGUCCAGACUCCUACGGGAGGCAGCAGUAGGGAAUCUUCCGCAAUGGGCGAAAGCCUGACGGAGCAACGCCGCGUGAGUGAUGAAGGUCUUCGGAUCGUAAAACUCUGUUAUUAGGGAAGAACAUAUGUGUAAGUAACUGUGCACAUCUUGACGGUACCUAAUCAGAAAGCCACGGCUAACUACGUG